rnacentral:rRNA from 1 species
CCCUUAGAUGUCCGGGGCUGCACGCGCGCUACACUGAAGGAAUCAGCGUGCUAAAACCAUUGUCGAAAGGCAUUGGUAAACCCAUUAAAAUCCUACGUGAUUGGGAUCGGGAAUUGCAAUUAUUUCCCUUGAACGAGGAAUUCCCAGUAAGUGUGGGUCAUAAGCUCGCGUUGAUUACGUCCCUGCCCUUUGUACACAACGCCCGUCGCUGCCCGGGACUGAGCCGUUUCGAGAAAAGCGGGGACUGCUGCUGUCGGGGCUUUCGGGCCUUGGCUUCGGUGGAAACCGCUUUAAUCGCAGUGGCUUGAACCGGGCAAAAGUCGUAACA